GCAAGUUGGUUUAGUCUUCAGUAGCCGUCGCAAGGAUGGUGAUGGUGUAUCUCCUGUGCAGUAUUUACGUGUGUUUCAGUGCGCUUUGUAAGACAAUGCAAUGACAAUGGUUCGUGUGCAACACAUUGUCGAUUUCCCGGAAGAGUUUUGACGCCAAGAAGACGUAAACGGUGUAGGGGCAAGAACGCACUGUGAAACGCCAAUCGGACUGCACGUCGCGAAUGUUUGCAGAAACUUCGGGGGAACUUGAAGAGAAACAGGAUAAGAUUCCGAACGUGCGGUGAAGAGGAAUGGGGUGUAUGUCGCGACCUGCAUGGAAAACAGGAGUGUCGUGUCAUCUUCUCUAAGAAAAUACAAGAUGUGAGGUGGCCAACGAACGAAAGCUCCCUGUGGUCCGUGAGUGCAUAGCACAGUCAGGCAUAUGCUUUGUCUAGACACAGUGAGUGAUCAGACUUAUACUUAUACUACAUGGUAUGUAAAUGUAGAGAUGUAUUGAUUAUUUCUUUCUGCUCAGUGUAUGCUUUUAGCAGAAUAAACGGUAAUUACUUGAGCAA